CUUUCAAACAAAUAUUAGGAAUUAUAAUCAUCCCUAUUUUACAGAUGAACAGCCUGAGACUCAGAGAAGUUAAAUUCUUUCGUCCCUCUUUUCCCUCCCUCCUGCCUUCCUUCCUGGUUCCUUCUCUUUCUUUCAACAAAGUUGAACUAAAAGGCUAAUAGAACAUGGUGUCUUUCUCCCAAGGUUUCACUUUGUCUGAAGGUAGCAGAAUUGUAGCUAUGUAAUUGCUGCUAUAGCAGAGGAAUGAACUCAGCAAUAUGGGAGUUCAGAGUAUGAAGCCUUCUGUUCUAUGUGGAUAUCAGAGAAGACUUCCUGGAAGAGGACAUGUUUGAGUUGAGUCUUAAAAGAUAAGAAAGAGUCCGUUAGUAGACAAGGAAGAUAAGGCAACAGUAACAGCGUGGCAGAUACUGCUGGCUUCUCGCUCAACAGCCAUUACCUUUUGUCUUUCUGGAAAAGCCAAGAUUUUGCUCAGGUGUUCCUUUUCCUACUUGAUCUGAGGGAGAGUGACCAUAUCCCUACCUUCAGGAGUAAGUACUGAGUGGUUUAAGCCGAUUAUGGUGAGUCCAUUCCUCUAGUUUGAUUAGCUUAGGGGUGGGCAUUUGAACGAGUUCUGGCCAAGGCCAUAUAAAAGGAAAUCUGCUGGGUGACUUAGGAAAUGUUUCUUGCCCUUAAGAGGGAGACACUGGAAGAGAUAGCCAUCUUUUUUUGUCUCUAGGUAUUGCUGUACUUGGAAGGGAUGUUUAGAACUACCACGGCCGUCUUGUGACCAUGAAGGGCAGCCAAUCUGAGGGCAAAUAAAAUUUUCUGAGGAUGGUAAAGCAAAGAAAUAAAAACCAGUGUCUUCAAUGACAUCGUUGAGUUCAUGGACAACUGUGCCUGCUUUUCAAUUCAUGUUACCUGGUGUUAUAAUUGUCCUUGUUCCAUCAGCAGGUUUGGAUUGAAGUCUUCUGCAAUGGCAUCCUCACUGAUAACAGAGCAGAUGCAAAUCAUAGGGCUCAGAAAGGUCACAGGGCACUUAGAAACGGCCAAUAGUUCCUCACGUCUGAAAUGCAGGAUAUUGUGGAGUGGAGAGUGAGAUGACGGCUAGAGAUAAGGUGAAAUACUAGACAAGGGUCAGAUCAUGAAGGGCCUUGUAUGUUAGGAUCAGACAUUUGCACUUUAUUUUGUACGUACUGGGGAGGCAUUGAAAAGUUUCAAGCAAGGUAAUGGUAUAAUUAGGUUUGCAGUUUAGAAGCAUUCGUCUGACUACUGUGUGGUGGAUUGAAGAGUACCCUCUGAUAAGACACCAAGGUCAUUCAGUUCAAGAACAAAUGGAUUCACACGCAGCCACCUAAAAAUAUUCAGCUGCUUUUCCUGCUGAAGCACUCAGAUGACCCACAGGACAAAGGCACAGUUCAACCCCUUCAAUUACGGAUGAGCUAAAUGAAGCUGAGGGAUGAGAUGUGACUGGUUCAAGGUCACAGAACCAGUGACUGAGAGAACGGAUUAGAACCCACUCUUUUUUUCAGCUUCAUUGAGUGCACAACAGUAGAAGCCACUCUUGCAAGCUCCAAUCAAGGUGUUCUUUCUGCUACCAGAUGAUCAUUGAUCGCUGCACUCAGAGUUUCAGACCUUUCACAUGGGCUCUGGAGAAAGAGAAAGGCUGUCUGACUUAUUGAGGUGGAUGCCAAAAGUUUGUUAACCUAAGUCCUGCUCUUGGCUCACUGUGUUCUAGAAUAACUCAGUUUUCACUUCAGCUAGAUGGAGUAAAAUGGGAUCAUCUGCCUGGGAAAACGGCCCUUUGUGGACAGUCCUCAAUCAUGCUUGGAUUCCGCAUCAUCAGCCACGUCAGCAACGUGUCAUUAACCUGAAAAAACUCACCAGGCCUUCAGAAUGCUGAGUGACAGAUGAGGCGCACCUCCGUGCUCUGGCUCUGCCUAACCACACCACCAUGAAAUACAUUGCUUAUAACUCUACCAUUCCUUCUGUAACCCAAGGUUACUUGUAGGAGAAAUAGAAACCAAGGCGUAUCACUGUGUUUCCUUCUCUCUCUAACUCGAUAUGGGUGAAAUCAGUUUUAAAUUAAGGUCGUCCUCUCACCACGUUUUGCUUUGCCCCUCUGCUCACAUUGCGGCUUUCUGGGCUCUGCUCUGAGAAGUGAGGUAUGAGCGUGGCUGCCCACGUUUCCUACGGUCUGUCUGCGAGUCACCAUAACCCCUCGGGGUUGAUGAGUGCAGCAAGUAGGCUUUCACUGAAUCUCCACUUUCUUCCCUUUUUUUCCCCUAGAUGCUUUUCCCCGGCCCAGAUAGAACUUUUCCUUCUACCCCGUGUCCUGAGAAAUGCCAUUACAUCAUAAACUAUAUCCUUCCUACUCUGUGACGUAUGUUCAAGACGCUUUGCUCUGAAUACUCCAGGUUUUGGGCCUAUAAAUCCUUUUAUCCUACAACAAAUCCUGGCUCUUGCAAAUGCAAUCAAGCUUUAGCUUUAAGAGUUACUUUCUCCAAAAUAAUUUUUAUUUAAGAAUCUAUCAUGAAAGCCAGAAUUUAACAACUGAGGAAGAAGGGCAGGUAGUGAGGGACUGGACUGAAAACAGAGAUUGUUCAAAUGUGCAUUUUGAGUGGUGAGAUCCUUCAGCUUCCUUCCAUAUCCGGUUAUCUUUCCUCAGGAAGCUACAGGAGGAUGUGCUCCACCAAUAUGAGGGACUAAACCAAGAAAGAGGAAGUGUGGGAUUCAGGAAGCAGGAGAAAUAUGUAGGGAAUUCUCAGGAUGGUGCUGAAGGAAAAUCCCAGGAUGACAGCUGUGCAUUAGGUCCAGACUGGAAGAGAGGAUGGAGGGCUCCAGGGAAAAAGGAUCAUCGAGUUGCUUUUGCUGUAUGGAAAGUUGAACUGAGUUGCUGUUAAAGGGCCUGGGCAGAUCUAGCUUCUAGAACAAGAUAAAAAAAAGGAUCUCACCAAAUUCUAAGGAGGAACAGUUACUGAUUCCAGAAAAAAAAAAGUUGCACCAAGAAGGAUAGGUAAUCAUAGUCAGCCACUUAAUUCAGCAGUGAACAAUAUUUAAAUGUCCAAUUAAUGUAAGCUCUGACUGUUGCUUUGAUUAAAAAAGAAAACACGGCAUAUAUUUAUGAUGGAAAAAUGGGGAGAGGAAGAUGGAUGUGAGUGUAGAGCAGUACUCUCAUCUUUCAUGUUACUCUUGUCCUUGUUUACAGCCAGUUAAGGAUUUGUAUCUGGUACUCCUCUUCAUGAUCCCUGCUACAGCGCUGCGCUCUUGUCAUUUCAGAAGUUCUCUUUCUUCAACUUUCUCUGCCUUCUUUUUUCCUAGAGCUUCAUUUCAAUCUCCUGCUCUUUGAGAACUCUUCUCUACUGUCUCAUUAGCAUUUUUUCUUACAAUUUCUCAGAGGUCUUUACACUUUAGCAAUUUUUGCAUUUCUUCAAAAAUUUUAAAUAUUUU
rnacentral:lncRNA from 1 species